rnacentral:rRNA from 1 species
GACGAACGCUGGCGGCGUGCCUAAUACAUGCAAGUCGAACGCACUGGGGACGGGUGAGUAACACGUGGGUAACCUCCCAUCAGAGGGGAUAACACUUGGAAACAGGUGCUAAACCGAUACUGAUGGAUGAACCCGCGGUGCAUUGGCUAGUUGGUGCGGGAACGGCUCACCAAGGCCACGAUGCAUAGCCGACCUGAGAGGGUGAACGGCCACACUGGGACUGAGACACGGCCCAGACUCCUACGGGAGGCAGCAGUGGGGAAUCUUCGACAAUGGCCGAAAGUCUGACCGAGCAACGCCACGUGAGUGAAGGAGGUUUUCGGAUCGUAAAACUCUGUUGUUAGAGAAGCGAGAUCUAACCAGAAAGCCACGGCUAACUACGUGCCAGCAGCCGCGGUAAUAC